CCCUUAGAUGUCCUGGGCCGCACGCGCGCUACACUGAACGGAUCAGCGCGUUUUCCCUUCCCGAGAGGGACGGGUAACCUGCUGAACCCCGUUCGUGGUAGGGAUCGGGGCUUGCAAUUAUUCCCCGUGAACCAGGAAUGCCCAGUAAGUGCAAGUCAUAAGCUUGCGUUGAUUACGUCCCUGCCCUUUGUACACACCGCCCGUCGCUACUACCGAUUGAACGUUUUAGUGCGGUACUCGGACUGAGCCUCAGAAGAUUCACGUCUUUUGUGCUGCUCGGGAAGAUUCCCAAACUUGAGCGUUUAGAGGAAGUAAAAGUCGUAACA
rnacentral:rRNA from 1 species